GACGAACGCUGGCGGCGUGCUUAACACAUGCAAGUCGAACGGAAAGGCCCUGCUUGCAGGGUACUCGAGUGGCGAACGGGUGAGUAACACGUGGGUGAUCUGCCCUGCACUUCGGGAUAAGCCUGGGAAACUGGGUCUAAUACCGGAUAGGAGCCAUUUUUAGUGUGAUGGUUGGAAAGUUUUUUCGGUGUAGGAUGAGCUCGCGGCCUAUCAGCUUGUUGGUGGGGUAAUGGCCUACCAAGGCGGCGACGGGUAGCCGGCCUGAGAGGGUGGACGGCCACAUUGGGACUGAGAUACGGCCCAGACUCCUACGGUAGGCAGCAGUGGGGAAUAUUGCACAAUGGGCGCAAGCCUGAUGCAGCGACGCCGCGUGGGGGAUGACGGCCUUCGGGUUGUAAACUCCUUUCGCUAGGGACGAAGCUUUUUGUGACGGUACCUAGAUAAGAAGCACCGGCUAACUACGUG
rnacentral:rRNA from 1 species